rnacentral:rRNA from 1 species
CAAUAGCGUAUAUUAAAGUUGUUGCGGUUAAAAAGCUCGUAGUUGGAUUUCUGCUGAGGACGACCGGUCCGCCUCCCGGGUGAGCAUCUGGUUCGGCCUUGGCAUCUUCUUGGUGAACGUAUCUGCACUUGACUGUGUGGUGCGGUACCCAGACGUUUACUUUGAUGGAAGAUUAGAGUGUUUCAAGCAGGCAUACGCCUUGAAUACAUUAGCAUGGAAUAAUAAGAUAGGACCUCGGUUCUAUUUUGUUGGUUUCUAGAGCUGAGGUAAUGAUUAAUAGGACAGUUGGGGUAGUUCGUAUUUCAUUGUCAGAGGUGAAAUUCUUGGAUUUCUGAAAGACGAACUACUGCGAAAGCAUUUACCAAGGAUGUUUUCAUUAAUCAAGAACGAAAGUU